AAGAUGAAGGCGAUCAACCGUUUCUUCGAAGAAGGCGACAAGGUGAAGGUGACGCUGAAGUUCCGCGGCCGCGAAAUGGCCCACCAGGAGCUCGGCAUGAAGCUUCUGCUUCAGGUGAAGGACGACACCCAGGAGAUCGCCAAGGUCGAGGCGGAGCCGAAGCUCGAAGGCCGUCAGAUGAUGAUGGUGCUGGCGCCGAAAUAAGCGCCGCACCUUUCCGCCUCCAGGCGGUUUUGCCGGCGUUUCCGCCGGUUUUUGCCACGCUUUCUUUCCCAUUGCGCUUUUUUCCGACUGCGGUUAUAA
rnacentral:misc_RNA from 1 species